UACAUGGAGUAUAAACAAUAAUGACAAAUCAAGGUAGGAAUCAUAUGAUAAAUAAAUAUAUCUUCCUUUCUCCUAGUUCUUUAUUUGGCACAUAGAGUACAAAAUAUGAUGACACCUGUAGACUAGAAAUAUCUAUGAAUAUGGUUCACUAGAAUCCAAGUUUCAAAUUUUGAUUUUUUUAAUGACUUGUCACAAUGAGCAUAUUAACAAGUAUUUUAUUUCCUGAUUGUGUUUGAAUUAUGAUAGGGAAUUUCUCCACUGAGUUUCAAGGAUCAUGAUGUGAUUCAUUACAUAUAUUUAUGAGUUGCUCAUAUAAUUACAGAAAGAAGCAAUACCUAUAAUAAUGAGAGCAUAAUUUUAGGCAUAGGAGAAAAACAACUUUUAUGAACAUUAACUGUGAAACAUGUGACACACUAAGAGAGAAAUACACUACAUGAAGACAACAUGAUAUGAGACAUGCUUACCUAGUUUUGUGCAUUCUGAUACAUUCCUAUAUCUAGAAAAAUUCUUAACAUCCAGGAAUACUAGAUAAUUGUAUAGGAAAGGUCUUUAAUCUGGGAUUUUCUGAGGAUGAUUAAAAGAUUUGUAAAAGAAUGAUAGAAACCUCAAUCAAAAUAAAAAGUUCACUACACAUUCCAUUAGGCACUAGUCAAUGUAUUUAUACAUUUACAGGUGAAGUUUUGAUAUGAGAUUUCUUUUUUUUUUUCACUUCCUUGUAUGCAACUGACCCCCCAUUGGGUCAGUAUAGAUUGCUUUAAGACAAUGUAGCAGAGAAAGAGUUAUACUGGAGUGUGGGCUCUGGAUACAAGCUGUCUGGUUUCAAUUCCUGGUUUCAUUACCAACUGUGCAGUCUUGGGUAAGUUUCUUCAUCUUGCGAUACUUCAGUAAUAUCAUUUGUUAAAUGUUAUGACUGUAAAAUGGAUAACACAUGCAAGUACUUAGCAAGAUGUCUGCUACAGUCUCAGUAUAUUGCCAUCUUAAAAUUGUCAUAGCUGGAAUGCAGAGGAUGAGGUACUCAAGGUCAACGCUUUGCACUCCAAAACAGGCACUUGAAAUCCGUUUCAUAGGUUAUAUGAUUAAAACUAGGCUUUCAAUUGCAAAGGACACUUGAAAUAGUUUUAUAAAUUAUCAAAUCCUUUAAACAUCAUAUCAGGAACAGAAGAUUAGAGGAUUGAAAAUGAAGUUUUUUACUACAAACUGUAGAAUAGGAAGAAUGAUUUAGGGGCAAUUUCCUGCUGAACAACAAUUAGGUAAAAGUCCUUGGCAAGGGGAAAGCACUGGAGCAAGAAAGAAAAGAGUGCACUCAGGCUUCAAAGAGAAGCCUACUCUCAAACUGUGGGUAAUUUCAGGGAGAAGAAGCAUGUUCUCUGUUCCCUCUGGGAGGCAAGGCUUUAUAAUGCUCCCCAAAAGAGAUGACCAGAGGAUUUUACAUGAAGCUUUUGUAUAUUCAUGCAGAAAGAGGGCUUGGUUUGCAUCUUUUACUGCCUCACAGAGAGGUCUGAAAAAUGUGGUAUGGAUAAAAUCAUGAAAUUGUUUCAUGCCUGAAGAGAGAAAGUCUGGUUGAAAGUAGAUCAUUGGAGUCUGGAAUUGAGAUAAGGAGCAAAAUGAGUGCAUAGACAUCAAGACCAUGCUAGAGGCUCUGGUCACAAGCAAGGAUGCGGUGGAUACAUCAGCUGUGGAUACAGAGAGAACAAAGUGGUCAUCAAAGGUUAAUAUAGAGGGUGAUAUAGUCGAUUGGAACUUGAGGUGUACCCUUGUAAAAUAUAUUCCUCCACUCCCACAGUUGCAGUUACCUGUUAAGAACUUCUUGCUUUCCAAAACUUUCUUAUGGAGGAGCAGUUCAAGAGGCAAGUGCACAAAAGGGGUGCAUAUCAUUAACAUUUCUACUAAUUAAAUAUUUAUACGAAAAAGAAGUUUUCAGCAAGAUGUGACUGAAUUACCUGAAGAAGCCUAGAUUAUAUUUCUUAAAAAUACACCUUAGUUUAGGAACAGUUUUAGGUUCAUAGCAAAAUUGAGGGUAAGGACAGAUAUUUCCUAAAUAGCCCCUACCCUCACAAGUGCAUGGCCACCUCUGUUGUCAAUAACUCCCAUCGCAGUGGAACAUUUGUUACAAUUGAUAAACCUACAAUGACACAUCAUUAUUAGAAAGUCCAUAGAUUACCUUAGAGUCUAUCUGAGAGUCUUUAUCUGUCCUUAGUUUUUGAAGGAUAAUUUUUCAGGGUGGGUAGUUUUUUGCUUUUGUUUUGUUUUGUUUUGUUUUUCUCUUAAUACUUUGAAUAUUUCAUUCCACUCUUUUUUUCUUGCUUGUUUCUGAGAAGUCAGGUGUAAUUAUCUUCGUUCUCUAUCAGUAAGGUGUUUAUUCCCUGUGGUUUCUUUCAUGUUUCUUUUUUUAAUCUUAGAUUUUCUGCAGUUUGAAAAUGAUAUGCCUAAAUGAACAUUUGGGAGGCAUUUAACCUGCCUGGCAUUCUCUGAGCUUUCUGCAUCUGCACUGUGGUAUCUGAUGUUAAUUUGGGGGAAAUUCUCAGUCAUUAUUGUUUCCUAUGUUUCUUUUGUUAAUUAUUCUUUCUUCCUUCCUGUAUUCCUGUCCCAUGUAUUGUUACACCUUUGGUAUUUGGUAGUCUUAUAGUUUGUGGAUAUUCUGUCCUGUUUGUUUGCUUUUCUUGUCUUGGAAGUUUCUAUUAAGAUGUUCUCACAGGCAGAAAUCCAUUCUUCACCUGUGCCCAAUCUACUAAUAAACCCAUUAAAGGCAUUCUUCAUUUCUGUUACAGUGUUUCAUCUCUAGCAUUUCUUUUUGUUCUCUCUUAGGAUUUCCAUCCCUCUGUUUACAUUGCCUACUGGUCUUCCACGCUGUCUACUUUAUUCUUUAGAGUUCUUAAAAUUUUAAUAAUAAUUUUUAAAAAUUCCUGGUAUGAUCAUUCCAAUUUUCUUGCCAUGUCUGCUCCUAAUGCUUGCUGUUUCUUUUCAAAGUGUGUUUUUGCCUUAUAGUGUGUCUUAUAAUUGUCCUUUUUGGUAGCCAUAUGUGAUAGACUGGGGGGAGAAAAAGAAAAACACUACUGUAAAUAGACCAUUAGUGGUGGGGGAAGCAAGGGGAGGGGAGUGUCCUAUAGUCCUUUGAUUAGGUGUUAAUCUUUUCCUGCCUCUGCUUCUGGAUUAAGAGCUUCCUGGGUGCUUCUCAAUUAUAUCUCCCAUCUCCCUAUCUUCACCCUCCUCAGGUGGGACAAGAUGGCAGGAGCAGGCUUAGAUUGGCAAUUUCCCUUCCCUGAGGUCACUAAUAAACCCCAGCAGGUUAGUCUCUGAUUAAAUAGUUUCUCCUGAGGGAAGACCUUGUUAAGGAAAACAGAAUGCUCUGUGUAUUUCAAAAUGGCUUCUUCCCCUUCUCCUACUGAACAUGAGAGGAUGUUUCUCAGAUACUUCAGAACCUGGUAGAGCUUCAGUAGGCAAAACUCACAGAAGUGUGGGGUCCUACCAAGGACUGGGUCCCCCUGGAGUUUUUCCUCUCUCAGACUUGUCCACACUGAGGAGCAAUUUGUCAAUUACAGUCCAGGUUUUCAUACCCGGGUGCUGUUUCCUAGAGAGGUUUCUGCUCUUGGGCUUCUGUCUGAUAUCUCUGCAAGAUUCCCUAGAAAGUGGUUGAAAAGCAGUGUAGGUGGAUAUUUAGCAAGCCGUACUCACAAAUGCCACUCACUUCACCAGCAGCCAGCCAGGGGCCCAGGCCAGACCACAACCACUAUCCUCAACUUCAGAGUCUGCAUGGACUUCCUCAUCUUCAAAAUGGAAUCAAUCCACAUCUUGUUUUCUGACUAUUUGGUGCCCUUCUCAUGGAGACUGAAUGAAGAAUGCUUUGCAAAUAUCAUUGUGAACUUCUACAUCUUCUAGAAGGUAAACUCCACAUGUUACUGCUAAGUCCUCAAAGCCCAGAAGAAGAGGCAGUCCUGAAGACACAACAAGGUUGUAUGAGCAAAUUCUUCUCAUCAUACAGGUAGUCCUGACCAAAAUUUGUGUGCACCUCUGUGGAGAUCUAGGAAGGAAUUGGGGAACUGCUUCCAGUGAUGUUGAUUCUUUCCACAUAAUCUUCUGCAUGGCUUCUGCCAGUUCCAUAAUAACAACAACCUUUAACCUGCCUAAGUUCUCCUUCGGUAAUCUAGUUGGCCCCUCAAAGGAGUGGCAUAGCUUGUUUUAAGAGCUAUAUGUUGGAAGUAUUUUGGAAUUAAAAUUUAAAUAUUCAUGAAUAGAAAUGAAAAGCUAUAAUAUUUCAAGUGCUGCAGUGUUCCAAAGUAGGUGGGCUCUAGACAGAAUGGUUAGGAGAGUUUUUUCACUCUAAUUUAUACAUUCUAUAUCUGUUUAUCUCCAAGACUUUCAGUAACUUUUACUUUACAGUUUUCUAACUGACCACAACCCCACUAUGACGUCCUAUCCAGAUAUCCCCACCCUUUUACUGUCUCACACCUCAAAAUUCCUUCUCUGACUUUUGUUUUUAUAACUCUAUGCCUAAUAUUUAACUUCUAUUUCCUAAUAUUUAACAUUUCCUGAAGUUAACAUAUAUAACAUAUAUUUAAUAUAUGUAACAUUUUAUAUAACAUAUAUAAAUUUUAUUUCCUAAUAAAACAUGUUUUACAUACCGUAUAUAACAUAUUCAAUUAUGCUUAACCUAUGUAACUUCUAUUUCCUAAUAUUUAACAUUUCCUGACAUCUUCACAAUUAAAUCUGCUUAAGUAUAUAGAAGAUUCCUAUUCCCUCUAAUUCCUGGGGAUUAUAAAUGAUAAUGCAGUUAAUGAAUUAAUGUUAAUAUUAAUGGAUUAUUCUCUCUCAACUACCAUUUUCUAAAAAUGAAGGAUCUCUUUUUACCAGAAAUCCAGGGAAGAAAAGUAAAACCAAAUUUGGUCAAAGUAAAGUGAAAAGUAGUUACAAUUUUGGCCCUUCCUCUUUUCUUUUCUUUUUUCUUUCUUUUUUCUUUUUCUUUUUUCUUUUUUUUUCUU